AACGAACGCUGGCGGCAGGCUUAACACAUGCAAGUCGAACGCAUCGCAAGAUGAGUGGCAGACGGGUGAGUAACGCGUGGGAACAUACCCUUUUCUACGGAAUAGCUCUGGGAAACUGGAAUUAAUACCGUAUACGCCCUACGGGGGAACGAUUUAUCGGGGAAGUGUUGGCCCGCGUUGGAUUAGCUAGUUGGUGGGGUAAAGGCCUACCAAGGCGACGAUCCGUAGCUGGUCCGAGGGGAUGAUCAGCAACCUUGGGACUGAGACACGGCCCAAUCCCCUACGGGAGGCAGCAGUGGGGAAUAUUGCACAAUGGGCGCAAGCCUGAUCCAGCCAUGCCGCGUGAGUGAUGAAGGCCUUAGGGUUGUAAAGCUCUUUCACCGAUGAAGAUAAUGACGGUAGUCGGAGAAGAAGCCCCGGCUAACUUCGUGCCAGCCGCCGCCGUAACAC
rnacentral:rRNA from 1 species